rnacentral:rRNA from 1 species
GACGAACGCUGGCGGCGUGCUUAACACAUGCAAGUCGAGCGAGGAAAUUGCUUCGGUAAUUUUCUAGCGGCGGACGGGUGAGUAACGCGUGGGCAACCUGCCUGAUAGAGGGGGAUAGCCUCCCGAAAGGGAGAUUAAUACCGCAUAAAGUCAAAUGAAGGCAUCUUCAAAUGACCAAAGGAGUAAUCCGCUAUCAGAUGGGCCCGCGGCGCAUUAGCUAGUUGGUGAGGUAACGGCUCACCAAGGCGACGAUGCGUAGCCGACCUGAGAGGGUGAUCGGCCACAUUGGGACUGAGACACGGCCCAGACUCCUACGGGAGGCAGCAGUGGGGAAUAUUGCACAAUGGGGGAAACCUUGAUGCAGCAACGCCGCGUGAGUGAUGAGGGCCUUCGGGUCGUAAAGCUCUUUGAUCAGGGACGAUAAUGACGGUACCUGAAAAACAAGCCACGGCUAACUACGUGCCAGCCGCCGCCGUAACAC